rfam:Felis catus isolate Cinnamon breed Abyssinian chromosome D2, whole genome shotgun sequence.
GCCUGGGUGGCUCAGUCGGUUGAGUGUCUAACUUCAGCUCAGGUCAUGAUUUCACUGUUCAUGAGUUCGAGCCCCAUGUCAGGCU